rnacentral:rRNA from 2 species
UGCAAAAGAAGUAGGUAGCUUAACCUUCGGGAGGGCGCUUACCACUUUGUGAUUCAUGACUGGGGUGAAGUCGUAACAAGGUAACCGUAGGGGAACCUGCGGUUGGAUCACCUCCUUACCUUAAAGAGGC